GAUGAACGCUGGCGGCGUGCUUAACACAUGCAAGUCGAACGAUGAAGCCCAGCUUGCUGGGUGGAUUAGUGGCGAACGGGUGAGUAACACGUGAGUAACCUGCCCUUAACUCUGGGAUAAGCCUGGGAAACUGGGUCUAAUACCGGAUAGGAGCGUCCACCGCAUGGUGGGUGUUGGAAAGAUUUAUCGGUUUUGGAUGGACUCGCGGCCUAUCAGCUUGUUGGUGAGGUAAUGGCUCACCAAGGCGACGACGGGUAGCCGGCCUGAGAGGGUGACCGGCCACACUGGGACUGAGACACGGCCCAGACUCCUACGGGAGGCAGCAGUGGGGAAUCUUAGACAAUGGGGGCAACCCUGAUCUAGCCAUGCCGCGUGAGUGAUGAAGGCCUUAGGGUUGUAAAGCUCUUUCAGCUGGGAAGAUAAUGACGGUACCAGCAGAAGAAGCCCCGGCUAACUCCGUG
rnacentral:rRNA from 1 species